AGAGUUUGAUCCUGGCUCAGAUUGAACGCUGGCGGCAUGCCUUACACAUGCAAGUCGGACGGCAGCAUGGGCUUCGGCCUGAUGGCGAGUGGCGAACGGGUGAGUAAAGCAUCGGAACGUACCUUUUGGUGGGGGAUAACGCGGCGAAAGUUGCGCUAAUACCGCAUAGUAUUCUGAGGAAUAAAGCAGGGGACCGUAAGGCCUUGCGCCAUGAGAUCGGCCGAUGUCGGAUUAGCUAGUUGGUGGGGUAAAGGCCUACCAAGGCGACGAUCCGUAGCGGGUCUGAGAGGAUGAUCCGCCACACUGGGACUGAGACACGGCCCAGACUCCUACGGGAGGCAGCAGUGGGGAAUUUUGGACAAUGGGCGAAAGCCUGAUCCAGCCAUGCCGCGUGAGUGAAGAAGGCCUUCGGGUUGUAAAGCUCUUUCACCGGUGAAGAUAAUGACGGUAACCGGAGAAGAAGCCCCGGCUAACUUCGUGCCAGCAGCCGCGGUAAUA
rnacentral:rRNA from 1 species